rnacentral:lncRNA from 1 species
CCGUGACGUCAUCAACGUUUUUUCAUGGUUUUCUACGGUUUAAAAUGGAAUUUAGAAUUAAAUUAUAAGAAAUGACUGUAAUAUUUUUUCUGUCUAUUCGAAAUAACAUAAAAAAUGUGGUGCACACUGUUAAAUAACCUGCUACGCGCGUUAUUCAGUGUGCACCAAAUUUUUUAUGUUAUUUCUUCAUAGACAGAAAAAAUAUUAG